AUGGCGCUCUCGUCGACCUUCUCCCUCCCGCGGGGCUUCCUCGGCGUGCUGCCUCAGGAGCACCAUUUCGCUCCCGCCGUCGAGCUCCACGCCAGGCCUCUCAAGACGCCGAGGAGGAGGUCGUACGGCAUUUCUGCGUCGCUGUCGGAGAGGGAAGCAGAGUACCACUCGCAGCGGCCGCCGACGCCGCUGCUGGACACCGUCAACUACCCCAUCCACAUGAAGAACCUGUCCCUCAAGGAGCUGCAGCAGCUCUCCGACGAGCUGCGCUCCGACGUCAUCUUCCACGUCUCCAAGACCGGCGGCCACCUCGGGUCCAGCCUGGGCGUCGUCGAGCUCACCGUCGCGCUGCACUACGUCUUCAACACCCCGCAAGACAAGCUCCUCUGGGACGUCGGCCACCAGUCGUACCCGCACAAGAUUCUGACGGGGCGGCGCGAUAAGAUGCCGACGAUGCGGCAGACCAACGGCCUGUCCGGCUUCGUCAAGCGCUCCGAGAGCGAGUACGACAGCUUCGGCACCGGCCACAGCUCCACCACCAUCUCCGCCGCCCUCGGGAUGGCCGUCGGGAGGGACCUCAAGGGCGCCAAGAACAACGUGGUGGCGGUGAUUGGGGACGGGGCCAUGACGGCCGGGCAGGCGUACGAGGCGAUGAACAACGCCGGGUACCUCGACUCGGACAUGAUCGUCAUCCUCAACGACAACAAGCAGGUGUCGCUGCCGACGGCGACGCUCGACGGGCCGGCGCCGCCGGUGGGCGCGCUCAGCGGCGCCCUCAGCAAGCUGCAGUCCAGCCGGCCGCUCAGGGAGCUGAGGGAGGUGGCCAAGGGAGUGACGAAGCAAAUCGGCGGGUCGGUGCACGAGAUCGCGGCCAAGGUGGACGAGUACGCCCGCGGCAUGAUCAGCGGCUCCGGGUCGUCGCUCUUCGAGGAGCUCGGGCUCUACUACAUCGGCCCCGUCGACGGCCACAACAUCGACGACCUCAUCACCAUCCUCCGGGAGGUCAAGGGCACCAAGACCACCGGGCCCGUGCUCAUCCAUGUCAUCACCGAGAAAGGCCGUGGCUACCCCUACGCCGAGCGAGCCUCCGACAAGUACCACGGCGUGGCCAAGUUCGAUCCGGCGACGGGGAAGCAGUUCAAGGUUCCGGCCAAGACGCUGUCCUACACCAACUACUUCGCGGAGGCGCUCAUAGCCGAGGCGGAGCAGGACAGCAAGAUCGUGGCCAUCCACGCGGCCAUGGGGGGCGGCACGGGGCUCAACUACUUCCUCCGCCGCUUCCCCAACCGGUGCUUCGACGUCGGGAUCGCGGAGCAGCACGCCGUCACCUUCGCCGCCGGCCUGGCCUGCGAGGGGCUCAAGCCCUUCUGCGCCAUCUACUCCUCUUUCCUGCAGAGAGGCUACGACCAGGUGGUGCACGACGUGGACCUCCAGAAGCUCCCGGUGAGGUUCGCCAUGGACAGGGCGGGGCUGGUCGGCGCCGACGGGCCCACCCACUGCGGGGCCUUCGACGUGGCGUUCAUGGCGUGCCUCCCCAACAUGGUCGUCAUGGCCCCGUCCGACGAGGCCGAGCUGCUGAACAUGGUCGCCACCGCCGCGGCCAUCGACGACCGCCCCUCGUGCUUCCGCUAUCCGAGGGGCAACGGCAUCGGCGUCCCGUUGCCGGAAAACUACAAAGGCACUGCCAUCGAGGUCGGCAAAGGCAGGAUCAUGAUCGAGGGCGAGAGGGUGGCGCUGCUGGGGUACGGGUCGGCGGUGCAGUACUGCAUGGCCGCCUCGUCCAUCGUGGCGCAGCACGGCCUCAGGGUCACCGUCGCCGACGCCAGGUUCUGCAAGCCGUUGGACCACGCCCUCAUCAGGAGCCUCGCCAAGUCCCACGAGGUGAUCAUCACCGUCGAGGAAGGCUCCAUCGGCGGCUUCGGCUCACACGUGGCUCAGUUCAUGGCCCUGGACGGCCUUCUCGACGGCAAACUUAAGUGGCGGCCGGUGGUGCUCCCCGACAAGUACAUCGACCAUGGAUCACCGGCCGAUCAGCUGGUGGAGGCCGGGCUGACGCCGUCGCACAUCGCCGCGACGGUGUUCAACAUCCUGGGGCAGGCAAGAGAGGCCCUCGCGAUCAUGACGGUGCAGAAUGCCUAG
rnacentral:rRNA from 1 species